rnacentral:rRNA from 1 species
UACGUAGGGGGCAAGCGUUGUCCGGAUUUACUGGGCGUAAAGAGCGCGUAGGCGGAAGGUUAAGCGUGCCUUGAAAGCCCCCGGCUCAACCGGGGAAGGUGGGUGCGAACUGGCUUUCUUGAGGGCGAUAGAGGGGGGCGGAAUUCCUGGUGUAGCGGUGAGAUGCGUAGAGAUCAGGAGGAACACCCGUGGCGAAGGCGGCCCCCUGGGUCGGCCCUGACGCUGAGGCGCGAAAGCCAGGGGAGCAAACGGG